AGUGAACGCUGGCGGCAGGCCUAACACAUGCAAGUCGAACGGCAGCACAGAGGAGCUUGCUCCUUGGGUGGCGAGUGGCGGACGGGUGAGGAAUACGUCGGAAUCUGCCUAUUUGUGGGGGAUAACGUAGGGAAACUUACGCUAAUACCGCAUACGACCUACGGGUGAAAGCGGAGGACCUUCGGGCUUCGCGCAGAUAGAUGAGCCGAUGUCGGAUUAGCUAGUUGGCGGGGUAAAGGCCCACCAAGGCGAAGAUCCGUAGCUGGUCUGAGAGGAUGAUCAGCCACACUGGAACUGAGACACGGUCCAGACUCCUACGGGAGGCAGCAGUGGGGAAUAUUGGACAAUGGGCGCAAGCCUGAUCCAGCCAUGCCGCGUGGGUGAAGAAGGCCUUCGGGUUGUAAAGCCCUUUUGUUGGGAAAGGAAAGCAGUCGGUUAAUACCCGAUUGUUCUGACGGUACCCAAAGAAUAAGCACCGGCUAACUUCGUGCCAGCCGCCGCCGUAA
rnacentral:rRNA from 1 species